AAAUAAUCUACAGCACAGGAGGCAGGUCAGUGCGGAAGGGAAGGCGCUCGCCUAAAACGAACAAUGCCAACAUUGAAGCCCUCGGUUGGAGUCUGCACAGUUGGAGAUCUUUGGUGCCAUUUUAGACAUCUUUGGAUUUCAUCAAUCAAACUGACUGCAAUUUUCCAUAAAAACCCUGAAUUUGGGUCAGAAAGUGGGCAAAGCAGAUAAAGAUCGUUCGAGCUGUCUUAUAAGAUGAUAAAUAGAUAUCCUUUCAGUCCAACAAUGCAAGAAGUGCAGUUUUGUAAUUCACUUCCAUUGGUUUUGAAUGCAAUGUCAGCAAUUUGCGGCCCGGUUUCCGAGCGCGGCUCCGGGCGCGGACCGAAGCGCAGCCCCGGCGGAGCGGCGCAUCACCACCCGGGGAGCGGGAACAAGAGGGGCAAGGCACCGACAAGUUUGGCGAUUGA
ensembl:lncRNA